rnacentral:sRNA from 1 species
GUGAUGACAUUCAGCUUGGCUGUUGGGUGUAGUACCGGAAAGAGCUGAACUUCGUUUCUGCCUCUGGCUCUCCCACUUAUUGGCUUUGGGACCUUGAGCAAGUUACCUAACAACUUUGCUUUCCUUGUCUGCAAAAAUGGAAUAAUUGUCCAGCCCUCCACACACAAGCUUAUAGUUCCUUAAGGCCAGGAACCCAGAAGGUGUGCAGGUACAGUAUAUCAGAAGUAUGAGCCGAUCUUUUUCCAGUCCAUUGGAAAUCCAUUUAUUUUUAGAUGCCUGGAUGGGGUACUCAUUGAUGGGAAUGACAAAGGGAUAUCAAAAGUUGUGUACAGAUCUUGCAACGGGAGGGAUCGACUCGGCCCUUUAAAAAUGAGUGACAGUACAUGGUUAACAUCAGAAAUUCAUAACCCUCUGGCUGUGGGACAGUAUGUCAACAAUUGU